rnacentral:rRNA from 1 species
UAAUACGUAGGGGGCGAGCGUUGUCCGGAAUUAUUGGGCGUAAAGAGCGUGUAGGCGGUUCGGUAAGUCUGCUGUGAAAUCCUGGGGCUCAACCCCGGGCGUGCAGCGGAUACUGCCGGGCUAGAGGGUGGUAGAGGCGAGUGGAAUUCCCGGUGUAGCGGUGAAAUGCGCAGAUAUCGGGAGGAACACCAGUAGCGAAGGCGGCUCGCUGGGCCACACCUGACGCUGAGACGCGAAAGCGUGGGGAGCGAACAGGAUUAGAUACCCUGGUAGUCCACGCCGUAAACGAUGGACACUAGGUGUGGGCGGAGUCGAAUCUGUCCGUGCCGAAGCCAACGCGAUAAGUGUCCCGCCUGGGGAGUACGGCCGCAAGGCUA